UACGUAGGGCGCAAGCGUUGUCCGGAAUUAUUGGGCGUAAAGAGCUCGUAGGCGGUCUGUCGCGUCGGAUGUGAAAGCCCGGGGCUUAACCCCGGGUCUGCAUUCGAUACGGGCAGACUAGAGUGUGGUAGGGGAGAUCGGAAUUCCUGGUGUAGCGGUGAAAUGCGCAGAUAUCAGGAAGAACACCCGUGGCGAAGGCGGCUCUCUGGUACGUGACUGACGCUGAGACGCGAAAGCGUGGGGAGCGAACAGG
rnacentral:rRNA from 1 species